GAAGGUCGAACACGAAUAGCCAUCGCUGGCCGAACAAAGGUUGAAGAUGAUCGGAGAACAGUCAUCGAGCAAAUGCUUUGUUAAAACCCUUCAAGGUCUGGUCAUAGGACCUCAAAUACGAGCACGUAGAAGCCAUGAGAAACUAGUAUAGGUCUCCGAUGAGCCUGGGAAGUCAUGGUUUUGGGUUUCAGGGAGAGGUGGCGGUUAGGGUUUGAGGUGGGAUGAGAGAGAAUUGAGAGAGGAGGGAGAUUCAG
rnacentral:lncRNA from 1 species